CUCUGCUCUCUCACUCCGCCACUCAUGCUCCCUGAGCUGCUUGAGUGAGGAGAGCUGAAAGAGCUCUAGCCCAUGGCGUACUUCUGCGUCCACCCCCUUGCCGUGGACUCGUAUCUGAGGCGGUCGGUCUUGCACAUGUGCGCGAUCUCCGGCACCAGCGGGUCGUCCGGGUUUGGGUCCGUCAGCAGCGAGCAAAUGGAGAGCAGGACCUUGGAGAUGGUCAGCGCCGGGCUCCACUGCUCCUUGAGAAUGUCCAGGCAGAUGUUGCCGUUGCUGUUAAUGUUCGGGUGGAACACCUUCGUCUUGAACGCCACCUGUUUCAUUUGUUCGUGGUUUUCAUUCAUUCAGUUCGUCGUCGUCGAUGAGCAUGAGAUUCUCAGCUCAGACUUCAUAACAUUGCAUAAUUCAGCGAAAUUUUGGAGAUGAAGAGUGGGUGAGUACCUUGGGAGGCUUGAAUGGAUAGUCUGGAGGGAAGUGGAUGGUGACCAGGAACACGCCUCCAGAGUAGGGGCUGUCGCUGGGGCCGAUGAUCGUCGCUUGCCAGUGGAAUAUGUCAUCAGACACAGGGCCUGAUCACAAAGAACAGUUGAACCAGAAUUCAGAAGAAAGAAAAUUCAACUUUGAACUUCCUUUUUCUUUGGGGUCUGAAAUUGUAUGCCUGACCAUGUGUACACCAAACUGAUUGAUACCUGCGCUGCAGGACGUCGGUGGAUCCCUCUGCAGGUCCUUGAGCUCCUUGAUGAUUCUCCGCAGCGCCAUGGAUAUCGGAUCCUUGCACUAGCUCCUGAACAGCUCUUGAAAGGAAUGAAGAGUGCCUUAUUGAUCUGAAAGUCUCAAACUGCACAACUAACGAAACCGGUUUGCUUCGGUGUCCGGG
rnacentral:lncRNA from 1 species